GUGCCAGCAGCCGCGGUAAUACCGGCAGCCCAAGUGAUGGCCGCUGUUAUUGGGCCUAAAGCGUCCGUAGCUGGCUGCGCAAGUCCGUCGGGAAAUCCACUCGCCCAACGAGUGGGCGUCCGACGGAAAGUGCAUAGCUUGGGACCGGAAGGCUCGAAGGGUACGUUCGGGGUAGGAGUGAAAUCCCAUAAUCCCGCACGGACCACCGAUGGCGAAAGCACUCUGAGAAGACGGCUUCGACAGUGAGGGACGAAAGCUGGGAUCUCGAACCGGAUUAGAAACCCCAGUAGUCC
rnacentral:rRNA from 1 species